rnacentral:rRNA from 1 species
UACGUAGGGGCAAGCGUUAUCCGGAUUUACUGGGUGUAAAGGGAGCGCAGACGGCAGUGCAAGUCUGAAGUGAAAAGCUCGCGGCUCAACCGCGGAACUGCUUUGGAAACUGUACAGCUAGAGUACCGGAGGGGUAAGCGGAAUUCCUAGUGUAGCGGUGAAAUGCGUAGAUAUUAGGAAGAACACCGGCGGCGAAGGCGGCUUACUGGACGAGUACUGACGCUCAGGUGCGAAAGCGUGGGGAGCAAACAGGAUUAGAUACCCGGUAGUCCCUGA